UACGUAGGGGGCAAGCGUUGUCCGGAAUCAUUGGGCGUAAAGCGCGUGUAGGCGGCUCGGUAAGUCUGCUGUGAAAGUCCAGGGCUCAACCCUGGGAUGCCGGUGGAUACUGUCGAGCUCGAGUCCGGAAGAGGCGAGUGGAAUUCCUGGUGUAGCGGUGAAAUGCGCAGAUAUCAGGAAGAACACCGGUGGCGAAGGCGGCUCUCUGGGCCUUACCUGACGCUGAGGUGCGAAAGCGUGGGGAGCAAACGGG
rnacentral:rRNA from 1 species